AUGCAAGUCGAACGGCAGCACAGUAAGAGCUUGCUCUUACGGGUGGCGAGUGGCGGACGGGUGAGGAAUGCAUCGGAAUCUACUCUGUCGUGGGGGAUAACGUAGGGAAACUUACGCUAAUACCGCAUACGACCUACGGGUGAAAGCAGGGGAUCUUCGGACCUUGCGCGAUUGAAUGAGCCGAUGCCCGAUUAGCUAGUUGGCGGGGUAAGAGCCCACCAAGGCGACGAUCGGUAGCUGGUCUGAGAGGAUGAUCAGCCACACUGGAACUGAGACACGGUCCAGACUCCUACGGGAGGCAGCAGUGGGGAAUAUUGGACAAUGGGCGCAAGCCUGAUCCAGCCAUACCGCGUGGGUGAAGAAGGCCUUCGGGUUGUAAAGCCCUUUUGUUGGGAAAGAAAAGCAGCCGGUUAAUACCCGGUUGUUCUGACGGUACCCAAAGAAUAAGCACCGGCUAACUUCGUGCCAGCAGCCGCGGUAAUACGAAGGGUGCAAGCGUUACUCGGAAUUACUGGGCGUAAAGCGUGCGUAGGUGGUUGUUUAAGUCUGUCGUGAAAGCCCUGGGCUCAACCUGGGAAUGGCGAUGGAAACUGGGCGACUAGAGUGUGGCAGAGGGUAGUGGAAUUCCUGGUGUAGCAGUGAAAUGCGUAGAGAUCAGGAGGAACAUCCGUGGCGAAGGCGACUGCCUGGGCCA
rnacentral:rRNA from 1 species